rnacentral:tRNA from 1 species
GGGCCGCUAGCUCAUCGGGUUAGAGCACCUGCCUUUUAAGCAGGUGGUACCAGGUUCGAGUCCUGGGCGGCUCACCA